UACAGAGGGUGCGAGCGUUAAUCGGAAUUACUGGGCGUAAAGCGUGCGUAGACGGCUAUCUAAGUCGGGUGUGAAAGCCCCGGGCUCAACCUGGGAAUUGCAUUCGAGACUGAAUAGCUAGGGUACGGUAGAGGGAAGCGGAAUUUCCGGUGUAGCGGUGAAAUGCGUAGAUAUCGGAAGGAACACCAGUGGCGAAAGCGGUUCUCUGGGCCUUACCUGACACUGAGGAGCGAAAGCGUGGGGAGCGAACAGG
rnacentral:rRNA from 1 species